rnacentral:rRNA from 1 species
UGCAGUCGAGCGGAACGAGUUAUCUGAACCUUCGGGGAACGAUAACGGCGUCGAGCGGCGGACGGGUGAGUAAUGCCUAGGAAAUUGCCCUGAUGUGGGGGAUAACCAUUGGAAACGAUGGCUAAUACCGCAUAAUGCCUACGGGCCAAAGAGGGGGACCUUCGGGCCUCUCGCGUCAGGAUAUGCCUAGGUGGGAUUAGCUAGUUGGUGAGGUAAUGGCUCACCAAGGCGACGAUCCCUAGCUGGUCUGAGAGGAUGAUCAGCCACACUGGAACUGAGACACGGUCCAGACUCCUACGGGAGGCAGCAGUGGGGAAUAUUGCACAAUGGGCGCAAGCCUGAUGCAGCCAUGCCGCGUGUGUGAAGAAGGCCUUCGGGUUGUAAAGCACUUUCAGUCGUGAGGAAGGUAGUGUAGUUAAUAGCUGCAUUAUUUGACGUUAGCGACAGAAGAAGCACCGGCUAACUCCGUGCCAGCAGCCGCGGUAAUACGGAGGGUGCGAGCGUUAAUCGGAAUUACUGGGCGUAAAGCGCAUGCAGGUGGUUUGUUAAGUCAGAUGUGAAAGCCCGGGGCUCAACCUCGGAAUUGCAUUUGAAACUGGCAGACUAGAGUACUGUAGAGGGGGGUAGAAUUUCAGGUGUAGCGGUGAAAUGCGUAGAGAUCUGAAGGAAUACCGGUGGCGAA